AACGAACGCUGGCGGCAGGCUUAACACAUGCAAGUCGAGCGCCCCGCAAGGGGAGCGGCAGACGGGUGGGUAACGCGUGGGAACGUACCUUUUGGUUCGGAACAACUCCGGGAAACUGGAGCUAAUACCGGAUAAGCCCUAACGGGGAAAGAUUUAUCGCCGAAAGAUCGGCCCGCGUCUGAUUAGCUAGUUGGUGAGGUAACGGCUCACCAAGGCGACGAUCAGUAGCUGGUCUGAGAGGAUGAUCAGCCACACUGGGACUGAGACACGGCCCAGACUCCUACGGGAGGCAGCAGUGGGGAAUAUUGGACAAUGGGCGCAAGCCUGAUCCAGCCAUGCCGCGUGAGUGAUGAAGGCCUUAGGGUUGUAAAGCUCUUUUGUCCGGGAAGAUAAUGACUGUACCGGAAGAAUAGGCCCCGGCUAACUUCGUG
rnacentral:rRNA from 1 species